UACGGAGGGUGCAAGCGUUAUCCGGAUUUACUGGGUUUAAAGGGUGCGUAGGUGGAUUGGUAAGUCAGUGGUGAAAUACUACAGCGCAACUGUGGAACUGCCAUUGAUACUAUCAAUCUUGAAUGCAGUGGAGGCAGGCGGAAUGUGUCAUGUAGCGGUGAAAUGCUUAGAUAUGACACAGAACACCUAUUGCGAAGGCAGCUUGCUACACUGUGAUUGACACUGAGGCACGAAAGCGUGGGGAUCAAACAGG
rnacentral:rRNA from 3 species